UACGGGGGGAGCAAGCGUUGUUCGGAUUUACUGGGCGUAAAGGGCGCGUAGGCGGUCAGCACAAGUCAGUUGUGAAAUCUCCGAGCUUAACUCGGAAAGGUCAACUGAUACUGUGCGAACUAGAGUGCGGAAGGGGCAACUGGAAUUCUCGGUGUAGCGGUGAAAUGCGUAGAUAUCGAGAGGAACACCUGCGGCGAAGGCGGGUAGCUGGGCCGACACUGACGCUGAUGCGCGAAAGCCAGGGGAGCGAACGGG
rnacentral:rRNA from 1 species